GACGAACCGUGCGAACGUUGUUCGGAAUCACUGGGCUUAAAGGGCGCGUAGGCGGGUUUGCAAGUCUGCGGUGAAAGCCCCCAGCUUAACUGGGGAAGUGCCGUGGAUACUGCGGACCUUGAGGAGGGUAGGGGCAUCUGGAACAUUGGGUGGAGCGGUGAAAUGCGUUGAUAUCCAAUGGAACUCCGGUGGCGAAGGCGAGGUGCUGGACCCUUUCUGACGCUGAGGCGCGAAAGCCAGGGGAGCGAACGGG
rnacentral:rRNA from 1 species